GACACGUCCCCCGGGCGCCACUGCAGAGCCUGUCCGUCAGUCCCUAGGUAUCCGCACUGCUCAGGGGAGGAUUCCCUGGGAGCACCCACCAGCUGAGAUCUGCACAUCAGCCACAAUCCUCUCAGGACGGCGGAAAGGGAAGGGCUCAGCCGCCAGCCUGGCCACAGCCUGCAUCAUCUCAUCCCAGAGGCGGAGCACAGGCUCGGGGUCCUUCAGGGCCUGAAGGAGGUAGAGCCCGGUACUCACCCAGCAAUCAUUGUUGCCUGACAAAAGUCACAGAGAAGGCUCAGUUCUUCCUUCCUAUGAUAGAAGACUUCUAACUCUCAGGAAGUAGUUUGUUUCUCAAAGAGAAAACAUGGGGUGUUCAGUUGGCUGUGUGGCUGCUCCCAUCUGUAGAGGUGAAGUGGAUGUACGUAGUCUUCUAUGCUGACAGAAUAAUUCAAAAGAAUGCUUUGAAGAGUUUCGCUCUUGUUGCCCAGGCUGGAGUGCAAUGGUGCGAUCCUGGCUCACUGCAGCCUCUGCCUCCUGGGUUGAAGCGAUUCUCCUGUCUCAGCCUCCUGAGUAGCUGGGA
rnacentral:lncRNA from 1 species